GCAUGCAGGAGACUAGACAUACUAGGAGCAAGAAAAAUACGCAACCUCUUUUUGAAGGCUUGAGUGAUACAAAGGGAAGGAGAGUCAGACGCCCAUCUAGGGAUUUGUUUCCUUCUCCUGACAGAUUAUUAGUACCUUCACUAGAACAAAGAGUAGAGGAGAUGGUAGUUGACCAACCUCCUCCAAGAUGCACACUUGCGAAUCAAUCUAAUGUUCUUGGCCCUUUCCAUUUUAACAGCAUAUCCAUGCCAACAGACCAUACGACUAACAUGGUGAUGAAUCCAGC
rnacentral:lncRNA from 1 species